CUGCCGUGCCUGGCGGGAGCUUUUCCCAACGCCAUUGGACCCUCAGAGCGUAAACAGGACUUUGGUGUCGUGGAGUGUCGCGGGAGCGGGAUUAGAGCAGAUUCAUCGCAGAUCUCGCUCCUGUCCAGCUGCCCAUGAGCUUUCUUCCAGUUGCCGUGGCUUACCUGGCGGUACUGGUCAUAGGCGCUGCAAUUUUGGCUGUCGCAAUGAAUCAGCCCAUGGAGACCUCUGUGAAUGCCGGGGGUGCACGUGGUGAUCCUGGGGGGAAACAAAAGGCCAGUCCCUCAUGCUGCAGCCAAUGCCUUGCUGACCAGAAGAAGAAAGCCUGAUCCCCAUGGGCAGUGAACAGAAGGGGCUGCAUCAAUGGCCUGACUGCCCUCUGAGCAGCAGCUGAUGGCAUGCUGGAACAGAAACAACUCCCUGUGCUCAGUGCAAGGGAGCAGAAGCAAGAUCCCUUCCUUCCAAGCACACGGAUUCGUCUCCAAACGGCUGGUGUUGGAAAGUCCAAUCCCUCCCACAGCUUCUGCUUUCAAUGAUUUGGAAUUCAGCAGUAACUAAGCAAUAAAUGCA